rnacentral:rRNA from 1 species
AGAUUGAACGCUGGCGGUAUGCUUAACACAUGCAAGUCGAACGGCAGCACAGGGUAGCUUGCUAUCCGGGUGGCGAGUGGCGGACGGGUGAGUAACGCGUAGGAAUCUACCUUUUCGUGGGGGAUAACCCGGGGAAACUCGGGCUAAUACCGCAUACGCCCUACGGGGGAAAGCGGGGGACCUUCGGGCCUCGCGCGAAACGAUGAGCCUGCGUCCUAUCAGGUAGUUGGUGAGGUAAUGGCUCACCAAGCCGACGACGGGUAGCUGGUCUGAGAGGACGACCAGCCACACUGGGACUGAGACACGGCCCAGACUCCUACGGAGGCAGCAGUGGGAAUAUUGGACAAUGGGGGAAACCCUGGAUCCAGCAAUACCGCGUGUGUGAAGAAGGCCUUGGUUGUAAGCACUUUAGACAGGAAAGAAAGACUAAUGCGACUAAUACCGACAUGGUUUUGACGUUACUUGACUAAGAAAAAGUACGACCGACUAACCUCCGUACGUACCGACUACGCCGACCGGUAAGUCCGUUAGAAGCGGCGU